AAAUAUGCUUUUUAUCACAAGAUUCACAAUUUUUCAUCUUCAACUCUAGCGCAGUAAACCACACCAGCCUGCAUUGUCUCUCUCAGGAAUCCUAGAACAACGACGACGGAUAAUAGAAGCACAAUGAAGCCAAGAUUACAACUGGUUUGAAUAAAUAUCUUUAUUGUCACUGAAACACGUUCAACGAAAUUAGCAGUGCUUAAUUUGUAAAUGAAACGCUCCCGGAACGCAAAUAGUGACGUCAAACCAAAGUUCACUAUAGGCAAAACAGAACAGAUACCAGAACACGCACUGGGGUCCCUCCGGUUGAUUUGCUGGAGUUUUUGACAAUUAAAAUUGCACAUGUCACACAUUUCUUUCAACAACGGUAGUUUUUGCAUCUUUACUGUUCCCCUGCUUAGCGGCGCAAACUCCCUGAUAAUUUCAUUCUCUGUUCCUCAUUUCUGAUUAUUUUCAAUGGAAUCUGUUUGUUGCAACCACUAGGUACAAAACGAACUUGUUUUUAUUUGACUAUUUAUCUUCCUGCAUCUCCUCUCGAUCCUAAAUCCGUCAGAGAUGGAGAAGGUAAUGAAAAAGGUUUAUUGUUCUAUUUUCCUCUGAAAUUCAUCUAAAGUAUGGGGAGAAGGCGCGGACGAGUUUAAUAGAAUUUCUUCGGCCUCAUCUGAAGGAGGAGUUUGGCAGGCUAGAAUUUGAUCUAAAAUCUCAUCAUUUGAAGCUAAUUCAUCCUCUACUUCACUCAGAUCUGAAAGUCUGCAUAAAUCAAACCAAUCCGGCAGCAGCAAAUUAUUGUAUUCAGGUGUAUGGUUAACAUCAUGUGAUUGUUCUAUUUGCCUCAGAAUUUCAUCUAAAGUUUGUGGAGAUGGCUGAUCUGAAUUUAAUAGAAUUUCUUCGGCCUCAUCUGAAGGAGGAGGAGUUUGGCAGGCUAGAAUUCGAUCUAAAAUCCCAUUAUUUGAAGCUAAUUCAUCAUCAUCCAAAUCUGAAAGUCCACUCAGAUCGAACCAAUUCGGUAGCAAAUCACAAUAUUCAGGCUUAUGACUCAUGAUACAAAGAGAAAAAAAUUGAAAAAACCUACUAUAAACUUGAUGAAUGAAAAAUAAAUCCUUGGUCCUCCUCUCUCUUUUAAUCCUCACAGAGACAGAACAUUCCCCAUGAUGUUCACAAGCCCGUAGGAGAUCUGCAGAAGCAUGUACGCCAUUUUCAUACGGUUCGUUCUUUGAAGACGAGUGAGCCGCUGAUUCCUCCUCCGAUAUAAUUCUGGAUGGAGAAAUAGAGAGUAUGAAUGAAUCGUCAUCUUUUAAUAAAAACUUUAUUAAACACUUUAUUCUGAUUACUUACCAGGUCUCUGUGUAGCAGUGGCAGGAUGGCGCGGCGCGUCUUUCCCCGGCUUUCCACGGGAGCCGUCAGCAGCACGUUACUGCAGCAGCACGUCACAGCUGCUGAUAGGAACCGCUGUGGUCAACAGAACGUUUUCCACUGGAGCCGUCAGCAGCACGUUACUGCAGCAGCACGUCACAGCUGCUGAUAGGAACCGCUGUGGUCAACAGAACGUUUUCCACUGGAGCCGUCAGCAGCCAUCAGUAGCGCGAGUCGGCCGCGUCUAAGGAGCAGCAUGUCGCGGCCUUUACGCGCCGGUUCUAUUUUCUACGCGCGACGCCUCUGAAACGGGUCAAUUUCGACAUUUUUGGGGAAGGAAAGACAGGAAAUCGGACGCGGAAAUGGAGAGAAGCUCCCGAGAUUUUCAGAAUAAAGAACGUACUGCCUUCCGGUUGCUUUACUUUUAAAAAACGUUGCUAACUGUGCGUCCCCGUGAGAAGUGAUCACCUAGCUAGCGGUCUCCUUUGUUUUUCAGGUCCGUAUUGGCGAUUAUUAAACGGACAGAACAUAAAACACAAACCAUGUUGUAAUUUUCUCCUGAUUGUUGUUGUGUUUACUGACGAAGUCACUCGUGUGACUUCGUGCUCGGUCGGUGACAGCUGCUCCCCUGCUGCUUCGCGUCUCGUGGGAAGGGCCAAGCAGCAGCUCACGCGAGCAAGACGUGCUGCUGCAGUAACGUGCUGCUGACGGCUCCCGUGGAAACCCGGGGUUACUCGCUGGUCACCGGUGGCUGUUCUGGCUGUGACGCCACCCCCUCGUCACAGCCGUGUUGAGGUGUGGGUGUGACAAAGUCUUGACUUGCGGCGUAUUGCUGUGAGGGGCGUUCCUGAUCGUCUCUGUUUCCUCCCUGUCCUUCUGGGGAAAUAAGACAUUUCUCAGCUGAAAGGGAUGUAUCACGUUAUUAAAUUAUGUAUAAAAAAUCACUUACCGAGUUCGCUCAAAGCUCUGUCGAGCUGGCUAAAUGUUUCUUGCGGGGUUGGUGGCGGUGGUGGUGGUGGCGGUGUCUCGCGUUCUAAUUGAGACUGAGGGAUUUCGCCAGCCCAUUCACUCUUGGAUGACACGACAGUUGCGGCUAAAAAAAAUAGAUUAGGUGUCGGUAGAUUGAUAAAACAUUGGAAGGUGUAGUUUGAGUAAAUUCUUCCACUUACCUGACAUCACGGUGUGCUUCAGAGAAUGAGAUCCGAGAUGGUUUUUCCCAUUACAGAUAUAUGGUCUUUUUGAAAAAAAAAAAUCUUGAAUGGAAACGACGCGAUUGGUCGAGGGUGAUGUUUAAAACACUUUAUAAAACAUCACAAUGAAUUCAAUUACCAUUGUUAACCCUUCUGUCGUGUCUCAGAGACAGAACAUUCCCCAUGAUGUUCACAAGCCCGUAGGAGAUCUGCAGAAGCAUGUACGCCAUUUUCAUACGGUUCGUUCUUUGAAGACGAGUGAGUCGCUGAUUCCUCCUCCGAUAUAAUUCUGGAUGGAGAAAUAGAGAGUAUGAAUGAAUCGUCAUCUUUUAAUAAAAACUUUAUUAAACACUUUAUUCUGAUUACUUACCAGGUCUCUGUGUAGCAGCGGCAGGAUGGCGCGGCGCGUCUUACUCGCUGGUCACCGGUGGCUGUUCUGGCUGUGACGCCACCCCCUCGUCACAGCCGUGUUGAGGUGUGGGUGGAACACUGAUGUUAUCAACCUGAUGAAAUUGUGCAUUGAUCAACUUGAAACCAACAAGAGUUGAAAAAUAAAAGUUGAUGAAAAGCAAAAUCAAGAGUUGUCCCUGAGUGUCCCUUUGGAGUAGUGUGGAGCUUAACAGUUGACAACCACAGAGCACCCUGGAUAAGAAGAUAAAGGGCUUCAAACCAGAAAAGCUGUGGACGCAAGAGGAAAUAAAGAUGGCAGAAGAGGUCUUAGGGAAGACGGUCAAACUGCUGAAGCAGGAGAGGACCAGUGCAAAGAGCAGCUUCACCAGACUUGCCAACUUCAUUACAAGGGGAGCAGAUAUCAUGCUAAAAACUGAAUUAAAGGAGGAAUUUGGAAAACUUUCAGACCGGUUCAGGUCAGUUCUUGACUCUAAUGAGGACUUUAGGAUUGGACUGGAGGCUGAUGUCAAGGCAGCGGAUGAAGAAGCAGAACUUGAUGAGCAGCAACAGACCGAAUAAAAUGAAGGUUACUGACAUUGUACAAACUAACCUGUGGGGAACAUAUGGAGAAAAAGAACUUAAAACAUCAAUUCAUGAAGCAGAAGAAGUAGUUGAUGGAGCUGAAAAUAUGCAAGUCAAAAGUGACAAUUUGGAGGGCUAUGAGGUUCACCUCAUGUUAUUAGGUGAGAAGGUUAGUACAUCCAUCUCAGCUAUGUCUGCGUGGGAGAGGUGGAUUCCUGAAUCAUCGAGAGAUGAAGUGAAUGGGAGACUGCAAGGACUGAGAGCGGCCCACAGCAGGCUAAAACUGAAAAAAGCUGAAUUUGCCAUAUCGAGGAGGCUAGCUGAUAAAGACACAAACGGUAAACAUAUCCAACCAUUACCACCUUUUGUGAAGAUAAAACCAACUACUCUGCCCCUCUUCCUGGGAAGUAUGAGAGUUCCACAGGUGGACAAAAGACUGGGAGAGCCUGCAAAGGCAGGGAGAGCCCACUGGCUCACCUGAAGUGCUCAAGAUUCAGCUCCUGAAGAGUGUGAGUGAGACCAUUGUGAAGGAGCUGAGACUGUCAACUUAUACAACUGCAGAUGAUAUGUUCAGAGUCCUGGAGAAUAGAUAUGGCAACAAGUCUACCAUUGCAGUUGAAAUCCUUGAAGAAUUAGACAAAAUGCCUCAGGUGAAGGGAACCAGCCGAGGAGAGUCAUUGACCUCAUUUAAUCUGUAGAGAAAGCCCUGGCAGAUCUGACAGAGCUGAGGAACGUUGGAGCCAUAAAAAAUCCGUUAGUCAUUAAGUCCAUUGAAAGCAAGUGACCUGACUUCAUAAAAAGAGACUGGCUAACAUUUCUAGUUAACCCUAAAAACAAUGUCACAGCAGAUACUCACUUUGACACGCUCUUGAAGUUCCUGAAGAACUAUGGGCUCAACACACGGGAGGCGACAAACGACCGCGAUCAGCGAAAUUUGUCGCCGUCGCUUUUAUUACCUGACACACGGGAGGCGAUCCGCGGCAGCGGCCAGCGGCAAAGCCGUCUACACGUUCUGUUCCAUGGCAAAAUCGAAACUUCCGUUGUUUUGUUUGGCUGUGUCAGGUUGGAGGGAAUUAAGGUUAUUUAAGCGGUUCAGAGUUUAAAAAGUGGUAGAUAGGAUGUUUCACAAGGUACUGCUAGAGUUAUGUGAAAUCUUACUUCUGAUUUUACUAUAUAAAACAUAAUAAUAAUCAACUUCUCCUUCAUGUUUGCUCGGAGAUGUACGGAGCGUCCUGUCCGCUCAUUGGUCAAUGAAUGAAACCUCCGUUGAUUGGUCCUUGUCCGAGCGACAGCGAUGAAAAGUUGAAAAUGUUUCAACUUUCUGGGAUCGCGUCGCUGGGUCGCCUGUGCACAACACGUGCACGAGCGCAAAAUUUCACACGCAUGUUUUUCGCGUUUCGCUUGGUAGGAGGGAGACCCGCGAUGAUCCUUUUGUCGCGCAUGUCUCAUUGAAAACGAAUGGAGGAGAGGCGAUGUCGCCUCCCGUGUGUCGAGCCCAUUAGAAUUGUGGACAAGGUGGACAAGCCAGAAAAAAGGCAUGAAAGAAAGUCUACAUCAGCCAGAGCUACAGCAAAAGAAGUUGAAAAGGGUUGUGGUGUCUGUGGUGAUUAUGGGCACAGCCAGGGACACCGUAAAGCGGUGAAAGAUUCGGAAGAUUCUAAGGGCCCACAGCUGUCAGGGACCCAAAAAUGUUUCAAAGUUGAAUAAAAAAAUAAGUUUAAAAAUCACAAGUACUUUGCAGUAUUUUUACUCAUUUAAGACAUUAAACAGUCUUUUAGUCUUUAUGAAAUGUAUAUUUAUUCAGAGGUCCCUACUUGAUUUUGACUAAUUAAUUUGAACCCCCCACCCAACAGCAUAAGAUGGUACAGUCCACCUGGCCGAGGGGCGCGUAGCAGGCAAGGCUGCAGAGCCAAGGCUGCAGUAAAAAUAUGUCUGCAAAAACAAAGUCUGGGUCACAGAAAAGGGAAGAAAGAAAGGAGAAAGAGGACGGGCAGAAGAGAGAGCGUCAGUAUGUCACACAGUUUUUCUGAAAGAAAGGUGGGUUUAGUUAGUGAGUGGUUAAAUUCAACCUGUUUGCUAGCUCUGAUAUCCACAAUGAGAGGAACUAUGUUUCAUCUAAUUAUGGUUAGUGGGUUGUUGUCCUUGUCCCUACCAGAAUCAGCAGCUGAUGAUAUGUCAGCAGGUGUCCCCUCACAACCCAAUGAACCUCAAGAUGGUGAGCAAUGUAGCAUGUUAGCUAGCAGCCUCAUUUAAGGGGGUCUGUGGGAAUCACUUAAGGCUCUCUGUAAGUACUAUUACAAAGGAAUAUAAAAAGGCUAUUUUUGGUGAUAAACACAUUGUUUUUCCACAUAAUGAUAAUUAUAUAUAUCAAUCAGUAAAAAUGUAUAGAUUGUUUUGGAUGCUGGGCAGGUUGAAGCAUUGUUAUUUAGUCUGUUAAAGUAACAUAAAUUACUGUGAGAUUAUUACUGUGAAGCACCUUUUAAGGAAUCAUUCAAGAAAAAAAAACCUCUUCAUCUAGUAAACACCUUGAAAUGAAAUGUUUUGAAUCAGACUGAAUUAUGGGAGGUUUUACAAGAUGCAAUUUGUUUUUGUAGCUUUUAGAACACGAACCAAAAAUCAGUGAUUUCCAAAUAAUUCAUCAGAGAGCAGAAAUGAAACAAAAGCUAUUAAUAAUUGUAAUAAAUAAACUUAAUAUAAUAUUAAACACAAUAAAAUAUGAAAUCUAGUAUUGAUCAUUAUCGAACAUUAUUAAUUAUAUCACUGUAAAUAAUAAAUCUUGCUGUGUACAAUCAAGGCUGAAUAUAUUUUUAGCUGUUUUGUUGUUGUUGAGAAAAAUGGGUGUGUAGAGACUUAUAUACGUAUUCAUUCAACGUUGACCAACUUUAAAAUAUUAUGUAACCCUAACUGACUCCGGUUUGAACUGUGUGCUUAUUCAUUUUGUGUCUAUGAUGAAGCCAUGGAGACUUAAUAAAGAAGUCACCUUGUGA